GAAGCGGAAGUAGACGCCACACGCCACCCGGAGCACCUGACAGCCCCAGCGUUUUUUUUUUUUUUACUACAGAGCCACUUUAUGGAAGUAUCCUCAUUUUUUGACUGUUUUGUGACUUACCAUUGGCCUGUGGAGAAACUGGACACCACAGACUCUUACCAGGAGGACUUUUGAGUUGGAUGUGUAGACGCGUUACCACACACAUCUGGAGGACAGAUGUGGAGUCCCAAAGCUUGGGUCUCUGCCUCGCUCGUCCCCGUGUCAUUUUCCCUCUCUCUCUCUCUCCCUCUCUCUUUGGGAAACAUGAGAGCCGGGCUAAUUCCCCCUCACUCCCUCCCACAAGGCCGGACCACCCACAUUCGGAAACGCCUAGCUGUUUCCCGAGGAAGAGCCCGGAGCCCAAUGAGAAGGAGAGAUGAGGAGCGUCUGGCAGCGUGCACCAGAAGUCCUCUGUGGAGAUUAUGUAGCGCACACCGCAGCCAUCUUUAGACGCUCGCCAUCCUCCAGUGAGUUGCCAUCACCAGUAAACACCAUCAAUCACGACUUACCUUCUGACUUGACACCGCUGGAGUCCAUCACCCUAACCUUGGUGACCUGAAAGAAAAAUAACAUUUACUUACAAUCGAGUUCGGUUUUCACACGGCCCAGCAUUGCCUCAAAAAUUUUUUCAUAGACCAUCUUGACUAUCAUGUGGCUACAAACAUGACGUCCCCAUUUUGCCUGCGUGUAGUUCUGCAUAAUUGAUAUAAUAUAGAAAAUGUAUAUAUGUCCAUACAAGUAUAUACAUAUGUAUAUAUAUGUAUGCAUACAUAUUAGUAUUGUAUUUGUAUUAUAAUAUGUGUGUGUAUAUAUA